GCCGAGGUGGCGGAAUAGGUAGACGCAACGGACUUAAAAUCCGUUGUCCUUUGGGACGUGCGGGUUCGAGUCCCGCCCUCGGUA
rnacentral:tRNA from 1 species